UAUCGAGGAAAACAACGAAAAACUGAUACGGAAAAUAAGUUUGAAAGUAGUCUGUGGCAACUGUCAGCUGGUGAUUGUUGCCAAGUCUGCAGAUUCAGUUAUCUAUUACUCAAAAAAAGAAAUUAAUAUAUAAAAUGUGUAACUGGUCAAACUAGUACCGAUAUGCAAUUAAUAUGAACUCUUACAUUUAAAAGAAAAACACUAAAGUCGUAAGAAGGAUGGAGAGGGAAAAAAAAAAAACUUUCAGCUCAGUGCUUCGUGAAUGCAUGAGGCAAAAAUAUUAGAGCCUGAAAAUAAUGGCAGAAUGUGACUCUAGUCUCACUGACGGCGCAAUACUCGAUUCAAGAAGCCAUGGAAACUCUAGAUCUAAUGGUUCUGAAACAGAUGAAGGUGCAAAACUUUGGCAACUAAAACCGACCUUUUCUUCAAACACAUUAUUAGAGCGGCAUUUCAUGACCGAGAGUGGGCGGCCAUCUUGGGAUCAAGCAUUCAUCAGUCACGUGACCAUGAAGAGCCAGGAUUUGUGAGUUGGCACUGGAACAUCCGUGUUGCGUCGUCACUUCGCAGCGACACUGGAACAAGCCUAAGCAAGGGUGAUAUGGAAGACCGGCGGUCGCCUAUGAAGCAGGUCCCCUUCUCCACAUCACUGACUUAAUCCAAGGGAAGGGCGAGACACCAAGCAGCUUGGCACCUGUGCUAAUGCAGGAGUUGCCAGAACAAAGUUGAAAUCAACAACAAAUUGCCUUAGGGACUUCAGCUCCAUUUUUUUCUUCAUGGUUUAUCUCUUUUGGUAUUUAUGUAUUGACAUGACUACUAGAAACCAACACCA